AGAAUCAACGCUGGCGGCGUGCCUAACACAUGCAAGUCGAACGAGAAAGUGGAGCAAUCCAUGAGUAAAGUGGCGACCGGGUGAGUAACACGUGACUAACCUACCCUAGAGUGGGGAAUAACUUCGGGAAACCGAGGCUAAUACCGCAUAACAUCGCAGAGGGAAGCUCUUUGCGAUCAAAGGAGCAAUUCGCUCAAGGAGGGGGUCGCGGCUGAUUAGCUAGUUGGUGAGGUAACGGCCCACCAAGGCUAAGAUCAGUAUCCGGCCUGAGAGGGCGCACGGACACACUGGAACUGAAACACGGUCCAGACUCCUACGGAGGCAGCAGUGGGGAAUUUUGCGCAAUGGGGAAACCCUGACGCAGCAACGCCGCGUGGAGGAUGAAGUCCUUGGGAUGUAAACUCCUUUCGAUCGGGACGAUUAUGACGGUACCGGAAGAAGAAGCACCGGCUAACUCUGCGCAGCAGCCGC
rnacentral:rRNA from 1 species